GAGUUCAAGAGUACGUGAAACUGCUUAGAGGUUAAGCCCGAUGAACCUGAAUAUCCAUUGUGGAAAAUUCAUCAUUAAUAUUAUAAUAUUUAUCAUAUUAUAGAAAUAGUGUGCAAUUUUUCCAUAUAAGGACAUUGUAAUCUGUUGUUGUAUUAAAUAUUUAUCAAAAGAUCUAUAACAAAAGUUUAUUCAAAUUAGUUAUUUUUGGAUUUCUAACAUAGAAUAAUUGUAUUAGAUUUGAUAAAUCAAUGACAAAUUAAACUAUAUAUAGCGCUUAAAUAAUAUUUAAAAUUUUACAAUGAUUUAAAAAUCUAUUGAGUUUUUUUAUAUUGUAUGUGCUUAUAUGAUUAACAAUGCGAUAGAUUCAGGAUACCUUCGGGACCCGUCUUGAAACACGGACCAAGGAGUCUAACAUAUGUGCAAGUCAUUGGGUAUUUUUAAUAAAACCCAAAGGCAUAAUUAACUUAACUGUUUAAAUAUGGGAUUAGUUUUUGUUUUUAUAUAUGAAAUAUGAAUUCAAUCCCGGGGCGUUCCAUAUAGUUAUGCAUAAUGAUAUUUAUAUUAUUUAUGUCUCUAACUAGAGC
rnacentral:rRNA from 1 species